GGGUGAGCAUUCGAUCGAAUCGAAUCGAGUCGAGUCAAAAAUUUUCGAGUUAAUCGAGUUUUCGAAUCUCAUUUUAUCAUCCUAACUUUAUUUGAAGUUUUCUCGAAUCGAGUCGAGUGAGAUGGAAUUCGAAUCGAAUAUAUUUGUUCGAGUUAAAUUUUAAAAAAUAAUUUUGGGUCCUUGUAACCAUUGUCACCCAUCGUAAUAAAAUUUGUCCACCUUAAUCAAAUUUUUUAUUAACUUUCAUCACCUCAUAAUUUAUUUAUUAAUUUUUUAUAUACUGGUUAGCUUAUUUGUUUGCUUAGUUGUUUC
rnacentral:lncRNA from 1 species